AAAAUUUUGUUUUUCUUUCUUUCAGAACCUGAUGCGAUCUCUGAUCCCCAAACUGCUCAUUGCUCUUAAACACCUCAUUCAGGCAGACCAGGACCAAGCCAGUGAGGCGAUGGAAGUUUUAGAUGAGCUGAUGGAAAGUGAGGUGUCCAUUGUUGUCCCACAACAAUCGUCCGAUUUUGCCUGGAGAUCAGUGCGGAUGUCUCCCUUAGUGAUUCUCUGCGCGUAAAGGCUCUGUCAUGUAUCGCUGUUCUCAUCAAACUUAAAA